GCCCUUGGCGUCCCGGUACAAAUGAAGGAGGGGGCCCAGCGCCUUCCCUGCGGCGCUGGAUGGCCAGGGAGCUGCGGGCACGUGCGAAAGAUUGGCGCAGAGCGCGACCUGGGGCCGCCGCUGCAAUCCCAGGAGACUCGCGCCUGGCUCGCUCGCCUCCCUUGCUUGAGUGGGCUCUGUCCUCCCAGCCCGGGGACGCUCGUGUCGGGCUUCUAGCGGCUGGAGUGCUGUGCUUGGAGACAUCGCCCCUCUCUCUCCAGUUGCUGCUUCCCGGUGCAGCUUGCCCGGGGAGCUGGGGACUGUGUCAUCACCCCUUCGGCUCUAGCCCACUAAGCUUUAUUUCCCGGGGGGCUGCUGGGAGUGCGCUUUCCCACCCUUGAAUUCACGGCCUAUUGGGGGAUGGGGGUUGGGGUGGGGUGGGGUGCAGAUUGCUUAAAGGGCUGGGUCCGUUUGGCGGCCGUUGACCCGGCACCCUUCGUCCUCCCAGAUACAUACUUGCCCACCCUUUCUCAUCCAUGCCCUGGGGAGAGGAGUAAUCAGUGCCAAGAAUCCCAGUUCGGGCCAUACCUCACUGUCCCCCGCCGCCUGGCUCCUUCUCCCGCUCAGCUCAUAAUUAAGGCUGUGCGUCCGCUUCGCCGAUGACUCGGCCUGUGGAGGGGGGCGAGGGAGAGCGGAGGGAGUGCCCUGGAGGGUACCCAUGUUAACUUCCGGGUGCUGGUGGGGCCGUGGAGGCUCGGGCCGUCCCUGCGGUUACUCCCAAGGCCCUCCUGCUAAAGCACCCGGAGGCGGUUGCUUUCCAGAAGUACUGACGCAGACAGGGUGGACGCCGGCGCGCGGGUCUCCGCUUGGCCCCUAGGGACGCCCUUUUCCCGGCGUCCCCGAGAGACGCCUCCAGAUUUGAAAAUCAAUUCAGCUUCGGGAGUAAUUUCGCCCUUCCCACAGUCACGCUCCAAUCUGGAAUCGAACCUGGUCUUUGGGCCUGGUGGGGACGUGUGCGGAGGCCCCCAGUUUGAGACGUACACCCGGCCGCCACAUGCCGCGGCUUUCUUUCAUUUACAAAAGAAAGAAAAAAAAUCCGCAACAAAAGGCAGAGCCGUGUCCGCUUAGGUGCUUUCAUCCCUCAGAGAAAGGACAGAUGUGCCCAUUGUCCAGCCCGUGGCAGUUAUGGCCGGGUCAGCGCCGAGCCUCAGCCCCAGCUAAUUAGGAACUUGAUCUUGGAAACCCUCCUUCAUGAGAGGCACUCAGCUGAGCCUCUGGAGUCCACCUGAAUAAGGCUGGCAUCAGUUUCCUCUGUUUUAUCUACUUCUUGCCCUUCCAUAUCCCAAAGAGAAGAUGCUCUGUCAAAGGGCUGUCAGCUGGUGCCAUCCGCAACUAACUCCACGUUCUGGGAGUUGCCGAGGGCUGCCUGGGCGGCCAUCCCAGGACACCAGACCACUCGGCUCGUAUCUCUGGUUACUUCCUGCGCUGGGGAAAAAAGAACACGCUUGCUCUCCUGGGUCCUCGGGUAAACUACAGGCGGCUUCUCCUGGGUUGGAAUCCGUUUUGGCGGUCGCCUAAUUCCGCGAGGGCUUUUUCACGGCUUCAAGCCAAGAGCGCUGAAGGGAGGAAAGGUAUACUGAUGCCGUAGGGCUGAGGGAGGGAUUCCAGGCUCCUGGGGUGUUCUUCUGCAGCAGGACCCCUCGCUGGCCGCUGCCAGCCCACUUCCGGAGGAGUUGGCCUCGUCUAGCCAACAGUUCAGUGGGAUUUCUUUCUUGGACAUAACUUCAUAUCAUUGAAAUAGUCUACAAAAGACACCAGCUCAAGCCGCGAGGGCGUUGAAUUGUCCGGAUUUGGGGUGGCGGUUAAUGCUCCUCUUCUGGUGCCUCCCCCGCUGGGGCCCUGCAUUCCAUUAGCCCCGCGCUGGGGUAGAGAUGCCAAGUUUAGGGGCUGGAGAGGACAAGGGGAAGGACGAGAGAACUCUUGCACCGACGGAUGUAGUUCCAAGCGACCCGAAAUGAGGAAAACCCAGAAGGGGCGGACGGAGGGCAAAGUCGGCCCAGGACGAUCUUCAGGCGCACCAUUCUCUCGCCCUGGAGGGACAGGGAAGGGCGGAAGCGGAGGGUGGCUGUCCAGCCGGGAGCCUCUGAUCCACGGGGCUUGGACCAGCCACCCCACCCGAGGGCGGCUGAGGACUGGGCGGCCGAGCUCGCGGCCCACUUAGCUAAUGCCGGGUAAUGCCGACCCCGGCCCAAGAGCAGCAGCUGCACUUGGGAAGGAAAACUCUUUAAACAAAUCAUUUUGGUGUCUAAUCAAUUAGUGUUUGCGCAGUCAAGUACCGUAGAUUUAACAGAAUAAUCGUUACUGCCCUUGUCUUUAUUUGACCCGCAGACACCUAGAAGAUUUAAAAAUGAAACGCCGGUGUUCCGGGCUCCCCACCCGUUGCCUUCGACUCCCUCCGGGGCCUGCUAGGCCAGGUCGGGGCUUUUGCUUUCUCCAGGCCUAAUCUCCUCUUUGCCUCCCUCUUCAACCCUCCUUCCCCUUCACACUUUUCCACACUUUACCUUGUUUUCUUGCCCUUCCAGCCCUGUCGGCCUUCCGAGUCUCGAUCUCCUCAUCCCCCCGUUCUUUACCCCCGUGGCUGGCACGAGAAACGGCUUCUGAUUGUGGGACACCCAGGAUUCUGGGCGAGCGCACCUGCCUUUUGGCCUGAGAGCCAUCUGGGUGUAGAAUUAGGGACUCGCCAAGCGCCCAGUUGUCUUUUCCCUGGACCCUCACUCUCUUACCCCUUCCUGAACCAGCCCAAGA
rnacentral:lncRNA from 1 species